GACGAACGCUGGCGGCGUGCUUAACACAUGCCAGUCGAACGAAGAGCGAUGGAAGCUUGCUUCUAUCAAUCUUAGUGGCGAACGGGUGAGUAACGCGUAAUCAACCUGCCCUUCAGAGGGGGACAACAGUUGGAAACGACUGCUAAUACCGCAUACGAUCUAACCUCGGCAUCGAGGAUAGAUGAAAGGUGGCCUCUACAUGUAAGCUCUCACUGAAGGAGGGGAUUGCGUCUGAUUAGCUUGUUGGAGGGGUAACGGCCCACCAAGGCGAUGAUCAGUAGCCGGUCUGAGAGGAUGAACGGCCACAUUGGGACUGAGACACGGCCCAGACUCCUACGGGAGGCAGCAGUGGGGAAUCUUCCGCAAUGGACGAAAGGCUGACGGGGCAACGCCGCGUGAGUGAUGACGGCCUUCGGGUUGUAAAGCUCGGUUAAUCGGGACGAAAGGCCUUCUUGCGAAUAGUGAGAAGGAUUGACGGUACCGGAAUAGAAAGCCACGGCUAACUACGUG
rnacentral:rRNA from 1 species